UACGUAGGGUGCGAGCGUUGUCCGGAAUUAUUGGGCGUAAAGAGCUUGUAGGCGGUUUGUCGCGUCUGCUGUGAAAAUCCGGGGCUCAACCCCGGACUUGCAGUGGGUACGGGCAGACUAGAGUGUGGUAGGGGAGACUGGAAUUCCUGGUGUAGCGGUGAAAUGCGCAGAUAUCAGGAGGAACACCGAUGGCGAAGGCAGGUCACUGGGCCGCAACUGACGCUGAGGAGCGAAAGCAUGGGGAGCGAACAGG
rnacentral:rRNA from 1 species